rnacentral:lncRNA from 1 species
UUUUUUUUUUUUUAAAUAGCCAAAGAUAAGUUGUUUCUUGUUCCAAUGCUGCUAAAGCUGCAUGGUGUAAACCAGGCUCACUGGGCUUUUGUUUUGCUUUGGCACUCCCAACUAUCAAUACACAAGCAAAGCAACCAACAAGACCUUUGACACACUUUCCCUGUAAAUCAUUCUUAGUUGGUGCUAACAUUACAGUAUCUGUGGGCAGUAAGAUAUACGGGGCAGGAAAACCUCACUGAUGCAAACUCCAGAAGGGAAGAAAAGGGAAAAGAAUAUACCUAAGUCACAGAUAAGCCCAGACCUCACCACAGCUAUGCAUUUGGGUUCCUCUCCCCACCCCCAGUCACAAAGAGCCAAAGGCAGGAAGCAGAAGGAAGGGAAAGAAAGGAGAUACUACUUGGUCAGUCUAAAAGACAGAACUACAGAUUCACAGCUGUCUGGGACUGGGAAAACCUCACCUCCUCUCCAUCAAACCUGGGCGGAUUCUGAAUGUGCUUGGAUACUGGGACUGAACCUAGUCCUCACCCAUGUCAGGCAAGCUUCAUUCUGAGGCAGGGCCUUAUUAAAUCACCCCAUCAUGCUUGAACUUAUUCUGUAGCCUAGACAUGUGAUCCUCAACAUGUGAUCCUCCUGCCUCAGCCUAUCAAGCUUGAAUUAUAUACAGGUUUACAUCCCUAGACCCAGCUUGAGUGUGCAGUUAUGAAUUAACAUAUCAAAAACUAAACAUUAGCCAGGUGUGGUGGUAAGUGCCUGUAAUAACAGCACUUAGGGGGCGGAAACAGAGCAAAUGUCCUUUUUCCUAGCCACUCUGGUUACACAUGGAGUUCCAGGCCAGCCAAAGCUAUAUAGUGAAACAAGAAACAAGAUAAUUAAGUAAAAACAUAAAAAAAAAAAAAAA